AAUUAAAAAAUCAGGUAUUCAAUGGUUUAACAUAUGGAGCAGGGGGGCAGUGAAGACACUUCGUGCCUGGGAUGCCACUUGGUCUAGGGGAGGCCCUGUCAGGGAAAGCAGGAGUUAGUGUCACAUGCCUAUUUUCAGGCUGAAAUCUGUGGGCACCCUACUCUGUGGGAGGGAUCGUGGUAGCCCAGACUCAGGGCUGGAACAGGUCCCUGAUUGAGGGGGUGGCUGCAUGGUUUACAGCACUCUGAUGUCUCAGACAAUGUGUCUCUCCCAAAGCCUCAGAUCUGUGUCCCCAGAAGGCUCCUGCGCUGCCUCCGCUCCUUUCACAGUCUAUAGCCAGGAGCAGCAGCAAGGGUCAGGGAUGAGCCAUAGGGCACUAGGUGGGGGGCAGAGGCUUCAGGAGGAAACCCAGCACCCAAAGCAGAGGGAGAUAUGAGGCUUUUUCUCUUUCCUUAGCGAUGUGCUAUAGCUCCGAGAGCUCUUUGAAAUGCCUCCCCACCCACAGCCUGGGAAAGGGGAAGGAGUCUCAGGUUCUAGCUUGAUUUGAAUGAGGAUCACUGGACCCUAGAACCAUUCACUGCCCUUUCCUAGGGAAACCUGUGAUGCACAGAACGGGACUGAGAUAACAGCUGACAGGAGUCAGGAAUUGCUCCCCUGGAACAGCAGCAGGAUUGGGCAGCUGGAAAUCUCACCAAAGGAGCUGAAACCUUGAUGGUUCAGACAUAGAUGUCCCAGGGUCUCUCUUCUGCCAGAUUUUAAGAAAGUCAGGCCACCUUGCAGACUAUGGCAGAGCAGUUUGGUAUUAAGCUGCAGGACUUACAAUGUAAGAGUGCAGCUGCUGUAGCACCUUGACCAAUCUUGGGCUAAAUCCUGCAGCCUCAACAGCCCAGGAUAACCUCCCACUGAUGGUGAUGGGAAUUUAGCCUUUGUAACUAUCUGCUGGUACCUGAGGUCUCAUCUAUGAAUUAAACUGGGGGCAGAGACAGCUCUAUCCAAAGAAGUGGAGGAUGUAAGUGAAAGAGCAAAGCUGUCCAUCUGGGGAGCUGCUGCAGUUCCGUAACAACAGCUGGAAGGGAAAAGAGGGAAAACGCCUGGAGCAGCCCCGAGAAAAGGAAAUUUGUCAAUGAGAUCAGUAGCAAUAAAUGAGAAAUGACGGAGUGCUUUCUCCUCUGAGCU